UACCAGGCAAAGCUGUGGUACACAUC
rnacentral:piRNA from 1 species